UUAGAUACCCUUGUAGUCCACGCCGUAAACGAUGAAUACUAGGUGUCGGUUGGCAUAGCCAAUCGGUGCCGCAGCUAACGCAAUAAGUAUUCCACCUGGGGAGUACGUUCGCAAGAAUGAAACUCAAAGGAAUUGACGGGGACCCGCACAAGCGGUGGAGCAUGUGGUUUAAUUCGACGCAACGCGAAGAACCUUACCAAGUCUUGACAUCCCGGUGACAAAGUAUGUAAUGUACUCUUUCUUCGGAACACCGGUGACAGGUGGUGCAUGGUUGUCGUCAGCUCGUGUCGUGAGAUGUUGGGUUAAGUCCCGCAACGAGCGCAACCCUUAUCUUUAGUAGCCAGCAUUUCGGAUGGGCACUCUAGAGAGACUGCCAGGGAUAACCUGGAGGAAGGUGGGGAUGACGUCAAAUCAUCAUGCCCCUUAUGACUUGGGCUACACACGUGCUACAAUGGCGUAAACAAAGAGAAGCGAAGUCGUGAGGCGGAGCAAACCUCAAAAAUAACGUCUCAGUUCGGAUUGUAGGCUGCAACUCGCCUACAUGAAGCUGGAAUCGCUAGUAAUCGCGAAUCAGAAUGUCGCGGUGAAUACGUUCCCGGGCCUUGUACACACCGCCCGUCACAUCACGAAAGCCUGGCUGUACUAGAAGUAGCUGAGCUAACCCGCAAGGGAGGCAGGUUCCUAAGGUAUGGUCAGUGAUUGGGGUG
rnacentral:rRNA from 1 species